CCGCUGCAAAUGGCCCCUAUCCACGCUGGUCCAUACAUGUCAGUGGGGUGGCUGUAUCCUGUUGGGUUUGCUUAGGAGUUACAGCGCCUGCAACCACUGUUGCUGGCAGGGACGCGCGUGCCUCUCUCUCCUUCCCCAUCAAGACUCGCUUCGCCCAAUCCCCGCCUCUUCGUCCGUCUCCACAGGCCAUCGUCAGCCGCCGCCGUCGCCCGUCAUUGUCUUCCUCACUGCCUGCUUGCCAUAUAGCAAUGGCUUUCCUCGCUGUCGCUGCCGCUGCUGUGUUCGGUUAGGGGGUAAGGAUUUGCCUCCCCUUCCAACAAAUCGAUUUCGUUCUUCCAGUGCCAGCAUUAUGCGCUGAUUUGUUACCGCCAAGGUCCAGGUUCCCACGCUCACGGUGAAGAGGCUAUGGCAAAGGGCAUGCAGAGGAGCAGCAGGGCUCACUGAGGGGGAGAGGGUGUUAUAAAGGGGAGCCGUGAAGGAGGAGGGGCCGCGGCAGCAGGAGCUCGCGAUGGCGGAGAAGAUUCCGUGGCGGUGAAGCGGAGCUUGCAUAUGUCGGACCGCGCUCCGCCGGCAAGGUUGCGCCCACGUUGCUGAAGUAGCAGGGGAAGCCGAAGGAGGGGGCGCGGUAGCCGGCGGGGCGACCCACGUCGCUGAAGUAGCAGGGGAAGCCGAACGAGGGCGCACGGCAUCCUGUGGCCACGAUAGCCGGCGGGGCGACGCGGCAUCGCUGACUCUGCAUCCACCGCCGUCCCUUUGAGUCUCGCGUGGUGGCCGGCAGGGUGACAGGAGGAGGGGCACAUGUUGCUUGCUGCUCAUGGCACUGCUGCGCCCAGGCUCUUCCUCCUCGACAAGUCUAGGUCAUUCCUCAUCUCAUCUGACCACACUCAUGCCACAUAACCUGCUACAGCCGCGCGCUGUGUGUGGCGAGGGAUUACUUCUCCUGUGCAGUAAUACCCUUUUUGGAGUGUCCCAUGUUUGCAACUAUCCUUAUCUGCAGAGAAAAACAAAGGGACAAACAAAGUCCAGAUGCAAGGUGCAAGGCAGGAAAGGCGGUAGUAGGUCGAGAGAAGUGUAGAAGAGGGUUCCUCCAGGCUCCAUCCAUGUACGGUGUCGGUCCGAUGCCUCGGGCAUGUGGCAGUGUCGGGGACCAGCGAGGAAGAUGCUGGUGUACAUCCUUUGGAAUAAAGUUGAAGUCUCUGAUAUAACGGUUCAGAAUAAAUAUCCAAUGAAGAUGAUGCGUGACGAACAGCAUGGUGAUGAUCCAUAAAGCCCUACAUUGUUCUUUUGCUCGCUGGUGACUUUACUACUUUCUGAUUGCAUGCCAAGUAGCCGAGCAGACACUUUCUUCGUAGAUUAGUUGUUUAGUUUCAUAUACUGAAUGCUUUGUCGAGUGCGGUGUCAUUGCAACAGCAAAGCUCAAACAUCCUUCAAAGUAUGUCUCAGGUUUAAGAAUGCUAAGCCCAGCAGUCUAUAAUGCAUAUAUAAAAGAUGGAAACUACACAAUCAUAUCCUUAGAGUGCAUAAAUAUCAUCUAUGCUGUUGGGAAUUAUAAUGAAAUAUUGAUAACUGAAUGAAUACUCUUGUUAACUCACCGGGUGAAAUUGAAGAGACAUAUUCUGAAAAUCAAAAUUAUUUCUGAGUUUGUAUUCUACUCGUACACAUCUUCAUAUCCACUAGCACAUUCAAAUUCCAUAUAUGCAUGGAGUAGCAGUACGAUUGGUCAAAAUAAAAAGACAGGAUGCUGCUUUGCAGAAAGUGGUCGUCAAGUAAUUAUUCUGCUGUUGGGAAUCGCCCACGAUCGAUCACAAUUCACAUCAAGUCGACGAACAUGACACACAAAAACUUUUGGCCAAAGGCAUGUGCCAUGUCUUGUUCUUCUCUUUAUUUCUUUUCUAUUUUCUCCACACGAUUACAAAACUCAUGCAGCUUCAUGUGUGUGUGUGUGUCUAUACACACACACGCGCGCGCGAAGCCAUGAGCCCAUGACCCAAUAACUGAACCAAGUAGUGGAAUAUUGUUGGUGCAAAUAAAUGUUCUUUGAGUUUAGAUGAUGCAUGGAUAAAUAACUCUAUGUGAUGAUUUAUUUGCCGGCACUGAUUACAUUCCCCAUGCAUUGUUGACGUUCCCACCCUUUGCCCUGCUAAUUCACGAAUUAGGUUUCAGACCCGAUAGCUUGUUAUGCUGUGUUGCAAUUAAACAGAAGUAUGGAUCUAGGAAAUUCAUGACUAGCUAUUGGUCUUCCUAUCAGCAGUAGAGAGAUGCCUGGUCAGCAGAUAUAUGUGUCUGAAACCUUUGCAUGGUGUACAUGCUAUACUAUGUAAUAAAUAAAAGGUAGUUUAAUUUUUUAUUAUGCCGCUAAGAUACCCAAUCAGACUGAUUAUACAUACACCCAAAACAAUAUAUUAUAGUCUGAACUAUGAAACUAUACUCAAGAGGAAAGGUUAUACAUCAAUCCUUUCUGCAGAUUUCUUAUCAUCUCAUUCUGUCCUGUAUGAUUAUUUUAUGCCACGCAAAUUGCUAGAUAUAUUCAUACUCUCCGUUUAACCAUAACAUCAAGAACACCCAAAAAUUAGCAAUCCUAACAGGUCUGCUGCUUGCGGGCAGAAAGUAACUAUCAAGGAAGAAGAGUUAGAUGCUAGCCACAUACCUGUCGAAGAUAUUGGCGGUAAGCAUGUGUCGUACAGGUUAUUUAUGCUUUCCCUUAAGCCAUUCUUAGCCAACCCCGUGCAGUCCAUGCGCUAUGCAUAAGAACCACAGAUCGCUCAAGCAGCGUCGAAGCCUGCCUGUGACUGUUCCAAAUGCAUGCUUAUCAAUCCAGGUCCGACUUCUGUUCCACCAGUCUACUUCAAAAUGUUAGACAUCCAACAGUUACAGAUGUUCACGCUGCUUACUUCCUACCUUACUGCUUCAUUGUUUUAUUACAAAAGCCAGCUCUGAGGCAAAAACUUGAACACAGAGCUUCACACAGCAAUGUUUGCCUCAGCAACAACGCCACAGAACCGGACCAUCGAUGGAAAAGGGUCCAUUUAGCUGAUGGGGAAUACAUUGUCCAUGGGAAAAACCUGGCUUCCUUUAUGUAACUUGUGUCGCUUUGGAAACAUAAUAAACACUAUGAAUUUCGUGGUGAGAACUACAUAGAUGAAAGAUGAGCUGAGUGACCAUUGUAUAUGGGGAAACAGUGUGACCCUAUACACAUGCCAUGUAUAAGAUCAAUGUAAAUGAGCUGCAUGACCUGCCUUCGUACCUUUCUUUGUACAUCGUUAGUCCUUUUGGGCUAUCAUGCUACCAUGACUCAAGUAUAAACCAUUAUGUAUAAAGAUACUAUCUAAGUAUCCAUUUACAUGGUGUUUAAGUCCACUACAGAUCCAACGUAGGUUUGAUAUUAUCUUGCCUGGCCUCAUGCAAAUCUUUCUUGCAUAACAGGAUAUACCUAUUCAGUGAUUUUGCUCCUCUUUAUUGAACUUUUAUUGUUUCUUGCUC